CUGGCACUCUUCCCUAUCGUAGUUCAAGCAGUACCAGCAGUUGCCCUCCCUAGGAUGGAAUUAGAAGAGUGAGAUGGCGAGGAAGGCUGAACAACUGUUCCAUUUCUUAUGGAAAUGGAGACUGAAGCAGGAGACCAACCUAUCUCUGGCUGCAGUAGUUUCUGAUGACACCGAGAAAUGAAUGGUGUGGAGAAAUCAACCCAGUACUAGAAGCACUUGUGGACUCCAGUUGAGGACAAAUACAGAUGAAGGCAAAUGUUAAGGCUGCAGGAAGCUGAAAUAACAUGGGCAUCAUUUUCUCUCCCCCCCCAUUGAUACCCCUACAAUGCCCUGUGAGGAGAUACCCUAAAGCUAUGGAGUUGGGGGCCAAGUAAGAUACAAUUCUGUCUGUACUGUAUUUUCUUAUCUCUGUUAUUUUAAUUACUACACAUUGUACUGGGAGAUAUCUUCUAGAGCUGUGGAAGUGGAGG
rnacentral:lncRNA from 1 species